rfam:Triticum aestivum genome assembly, contig: Triticum_aestivum_CS42_TGACv1_scaffold_116071_2AS
UCCAUUGCUCAGUUGGUAAAGCACAAAGCUCUUAACCUUGUGGAUGUGGGUUCAAGCCCUGUGAUGGAA